rnacentral:rRNA from 1 species
UAGCAUGUCUAAGUUCACACCCUCGUACGGUGAAACCGCGAAUGGCUCAUUAAAUCAGUCGAGGUUCCUUAGAUGAUCCAUUUCUACUUGGAUAACUGUGGUAAUUCUAGAGCUAAUACAUGCCCAACAGCUCCGACCCCGGGCUUCGCGGUUCGGGGAAAGAGCGCUUUUAUUAGUUCAAAACCAGUCGGGGGUUUCGGCCCUCGUGCUUUGGUGACUCUGGAUAACUUUGAGCCGAUCGCAUGGCCUCGAGCCGGCGACGCAUCUUUCAAAUGUCUGCCCUAUCAAAUGACGACGGUACGUGAUCUGCCUACCGUGUUGACUACGGGUAGCGGGGAAUCAGGGUUCGAUUCCGGAGAGGGAGCAUGAGA